AGCGAACGCUGGCGGCAGGCUUAACACAUGCAAGUCGAGCGGGCACUUUCGGGUGUCAGCGGCGGACGGGUGAGUAACGCGUGGGAACGUGCCCUCUGGUUCGGAAUAACUCAGGGAAACUUGAGCUAAUACCGGAUACGCCCUUUUGGGGAAAGGCUUGCUGCCGGAGGAUCGGCCCGCGUCUGAUUAGCUAGUUGGUGAGGUAACGGCUCACCAAGGCGACGAUCAGUAGCUGGUCUGAGAGGAUGAUCAGACACACUGGGACUGAGACACGGCCCAGACUCCUACGGGAAGCAGCAGUGGGGAAUAUUGGACAAUGGGCGCAAGCCUGAUCCAGCCAUGCCGCGUGAGUGAUGAAGGCCUUAGGGUUGUAAAGCUCUUUUAUCCGGGACGAUAAUGACGGUACCGGAGGAAUAAGCCCCGGCUAACUUCGUG
rnacentral:rRNA from 1 species